rnacentral:rRNA from 1 species
GAUGAACGCUAGCUACAGGCUUAACACAUGCAAGUCGAGGGGAAACGCUGAGAGAGCUUGCUCUCUUAGGCGUCGACCGGCGCACGGGUGAGUAACGCGUAUCCAACCUACCCAUUACAGGGGGAUAACCUUGCGAAAGUAAGACUAAUACCCCAUGGCAUUUUAUGGUGGCAUCAUUAUAGGCUUAAAGAUUUAUUGGUAAUGGAUGGGGAUGCGUCUGAUUAGCUUGUUGGCGGGGUAACGGCCCACCAAGGCAACGAUCAGUAGGGGUUCUGAGAGGAAGGUCCCCCACAUUGGAACUGAGACACAGUCCAAACUCCUACGGGAGGCAGCAGUGAGGAAGAUUGGGCAAGGGGCGAGAGCUUGAACCAGCCAAGUAGCGUGCAGGAGGACGGCGCUAUGGGUGGUAAACUGCUUUUAGAGGGGAAUAAAGUGAGAUACGUGUAGUUUAUUGCAGGUACCCUAUGAAUAAGGACCGGCUAAUUCCGUG